UUACUCUGAAAAACAGAGAGAAAAGAAAACCAAAAACCAUUUCUUGUCUGGUUUGAAGAAAUUCUAAGGAGAUCCAAGUGAAAUCAAAGCCAAAGAAGUGGGUUAAGCUUAGUUCUAGCCUUUUUAUGAUAUUUCUUGGUGGUUUCCAAGUGGUUUGAGGUUUAGAAAAGCUAGAAGAGAUUGUUUUCGCCGAAAAGUUGCUCGGAUAAGCACAUCAACACCUAAGACACCACUUGUUACACGGUGAAUUAUAUUUUGGACAGAAGGUAAGUAAAGUACUCAACUGCAACACAAGAAUUACAUGUUAUGUGAAAGUAUGCAUUAUAUGAAUAUUUUGUGAGUAAGUGGUAUUAACAUACAUUGACACUUCAUCAUAAAU